rnacentral:rRNA from 1 species
GACGAACGCUGGCGGCGUGCUUAACACAUGCAAGUCGAACGGAAAGGCCCUGCUUUUGUUGGGUGCUCGAGUGGCGAACGGGUGAGUAACACGUGAGUAACCUGCCCUUGACUUUGGGAUAACUUCAGGAAACAGGGGCUCAUACCGGAUAGGAGCUCCUGCUGCAUGUUGGGGGUUGGAAAGUUUCGGCGGUGGGGGAUGGACUCGCGGCUUAUCAGCUUGUUGGUGGGGUAGUGGCUUACAAGGGCUUUGACGGGUAGCCGGCCUGAGAGGGUGACCGGGCACAUUGGGACUGAGAUACGGCCCAGACUCCUACGGGAGGCAGAAGUGGGGAAUAUUGCACAAUGGGCGGAAGCCUGAUGCAGCAACGCCGCGUGCGGGAUGACGGCCUUCGGGUUGUAAACCGCUUUCGCCGGUGACGAAGCGUGAGUGACGGUAAUGGGUAAAGAAGCACCGGCUAACUACGUG